UACGUAGGGGGCAAGCGUUGUCCGGAUUUAUUGGGCGUAAAGAGCGUGUAGGCGGCCAAGCAGGUCAGCUGUGAAAACUCGAGGCUCAACCUCGAGACGUCGGUUGAAACCGCUUGGCUAGAGUCCGGAAGAGGAGAGUGGAAUUCCCCGGUGGUAGCGGUGAAAUGCGCAGAUAUCGGGAAGAACACCCGUGGCGAAGGCGGCUCUCUGGGACGGUACUGACGCUGAGGAGCGAAAGCGUGGGGAGCGAACAGG
rnacentral:rRNA from 1 species